rnacentral:lncRNA from 1 species
AUUUUCUGUUUACAAAACCUUGAAUUUUUCGAAAAACUAAGGAUUUUCUUACCCCAGGAGUAGAUUACCUUAGCCGUAUUUGGCACAACUUUUUGGAAUUUUGGAUCCUCAGUGCUCUUCAACUUUGUAUUGAUUUUGGCUUUUUAACUAUUUUGAUCUGAGCGUUACUGAUGAGUCUUAUGUUGACGAAACGUGCGUCUGGGGUAUAAAAUUAUAAUCCUGG